rnacentral:rRNA from 1 species
AGUGAACGCUGGCGGUAGGCCUAACACAUGCAAGUCGAACGGCAGCACAGUAAGAGCUUGCUCUUACGGGUGGCGAGUGGCGGACGGGUGAGGAAUACAUCGGAAUCUACUUUUUCGUGGGGGAUAACGUAGGGAAACUUACGCUAAUACCGCAUACGACCUACGGGUGAAAGCAGGGGAUCUUCGGACCUUGCGCGAUUGAAUGAGCCGAUGUCGGAUUAGCUAGUUGGCGGGGUAAAGGCCCACCGAGGCGACGAUCCGUAGCUGGUCUGAGAGGAUGAUCGGCCACACUGGAACUGAGACACGGUCCAGACUCCUACGGGAGGCAGCAGUGGGGAAUAUUGGACAAUGGGCGCAAGCCUGAUCCAGCCAUACCGCGUGGGUGAAGAAGGCCUUCGGGUUGUAAAGCCCUUUUGUUGGGAAAGAAAAGCAGCAGGUUAAUACCCCGCUGUUCUGACGGUACCCAAAGAAUAAGCACCGGCUAACUUCGUG